UGGGGAAUAUUGCACAAUGGGGGAAAGCCCUGAUGCAGCGACGCCGCGUGAAGGAAGAAGUAUCUCGGUAUGUAAACUUCUAUCAGCAGGGAAGAAAAUGACGGUACCUGACUAAGAAGCCCCGGCUAACUACGUGCCAGCAGCCGCGGUAAUACGUAGGGGGCAAGCGUUAUCCGGAUUUACUGGGUGUAAAGGGAGCGUAGACGGAGCAGCAAGUCUGAUGUGAAAGGCAGGGGCUCAACCCCUGGACUGCAUUGGAAACUGUUGAUCUUGAGUACCGGAGGGGGUAAGCGGAAUUCCUAGUGUAGCGGUGAAAUGCGUAGAGAUGUGGAAGAACACCAGUGGCGAAGGCGGCCGCCUGGCCUGUAACUGACGCUCAGGCACGAAAGCGUGGGGAGCAAAUAGGAUUAGAUACCC
rnacentral:rRNA from 1 species